rnacentral:rRNA from 1 species
CAGUCGCCGCGGGAAUACGAAGGGGGCUAGCGUUGUUCGGAUUUACUGGGCGUAAAGCGCACGUAGGCGGAUCGAUCAGUCAGGGGUGAAAUCCUGGAGCUCAACUCCAGAACUGCCUUCGAUACUGGCGAUCUUGAGUCCGGAAGAGGUGAGUGGAACUCCUAGUGUAGAGGUGGAAUUCGUAGAUAUUAGGAAGAACACCAGUGGCGAAGGCGGCUCACUGGUCCGGUACUGACGCUGAGGUGCGAAAGCGUGGGGAGCAAACAGGAUUAGAUACCCCCGUAGUCCCUGUCUCUUAUAC